UGUACGACGAAUAGUUAGCUGAAGUUGAAAUUAUUCCUUGGUGAAAUAUCUCCUGAAGUGCUCUGAAAAAAAUGUUCAGACAUGAACAUUCUCUUAAACGACAUGUAGUCAUCAAAUGAGAUUGAAAAACAGCAAACAAAUGUUGGCGUAUUUACCAUGAGGGUGGACUCUACAAUUAAAGAAAAUGGUUCACAGCGAUUGAAGAGAAUUGUGGCUGUUGUUGACCAUUUCCUCGACGCUGGUCUAAACAUAUGAACAAAAUACAAUCCUGUAAUUUGGUUGAAAUUCUUCUUCCCUUGAACUACAUUACUAGUGAAUAAAAUGUUCAAUAAACCUUUAAUGAAAUCCUCUGAGCAAUGAUCAAGUUAGAACAAUGAUCAAGUUAAAACAAUGAUCAAGAAUGAUGAAGUCCUCUGAACAAUGAUCAAGAAUGAACAAUAUACUUUCAUUAGU